GUCCCCUAUCCAAAGUUUUGUGCUGGUUCUUGGAACUAUGUUCAGAUAACUGGAGGGCCAUUUUCUCAGUAUCUCUAACAAUUGCUUGUUUUUUCAGAGGAGACAGUGUUCUUUCUUAACCAUUUAGGGGAAAGUCUUCCACAUGGCAUAUUUGUACUGAAUAGCAAAGACAGCUCUGGACAGGAUCUGGAAAUACCAAAUAAAAAAGAAUAUUAUCCAGAACACGGUGGCUUGUCUGGCAAUGCUUUAGCCAUCUGCUGAGAGCAAUUUCAUGAACCUAUGGGAUGGAUGUCAUGAGUGAAAGCCAAGUUGCUGUUAACUAUAUCUUGAGGCUAUCUAUCAACAGAGUUUCAGUUCUCCCCUUGCAUAAUAUGAUGAGAGAGAAACCAGGAGCCAGGCAGAGAAUGCACAGACCAUCGUGACACCUUUACAGCAUUAAAUGGCUUUAGCCAUUUAAAACACCUGGCCCUUGGAAAGACCU